UAUUUCUUCGGCAAUACAUACACUAACAUUAAACGAUACAGAGAUUAGCAUGGCGCCUGCGCUACGAUUACACGCAAAUUCGUGAAACAUUGCAUAUUUUU
rnacentral:snRNA from 1 species